AUGCAAUUCAUCUACAUAUUACCCGGUUGGGAAGGUUCUGCACAUGAUGGUCGGGUUCUUAGGGAUGCCAUAUCCCGACCAAAUGGGUUGCUUGUCCCCGAAGGCCAAUAUUAUCUUGUCGAUGCUGGCUACACAAACGCAAAAGGAUUUUUAGCUCCAUAUCAAGGUCAAAGGUAUCACUCGGGUGGUUGGACACCACAAAAUCCACCUCAUAGCGCAGAAGAAUAUCUCAACAUGCGCCACGCUAGAGCCCGAAAUAUAGUAGAAAGGUGCUUUGGAAGGCUGAAGGGUCGGUGGGGGAUUUUGAGGUCUCCUUCCUUUUUUUCCCAUGAAGACCCAAUGUCGAAUCAUCAUGGCAUGCGCACUCUUGCAUAA
rnacentral:rRNA from 1 species